rnacentral:rRNA from 1 species
CGAACGGGUGAGUAACGCGUGAGGAACCUGCCUCAAAGAGGGGACAACAGUUGGAAACGACUGCUAAUACCGCAUAAGCCCACGGCUCGGCAUCGAGCAGAGGGAAAAGGAACAAUCCGCUUUGAGAUGGCCUCGCGUCCGAUUAGCUAGUUGGUGAGGUAACGGCCCACCAAGGCGACGAUCGGUAGCCGGACUGAGAGGUUGAACGGCCACAUUGGGACUGAGACACGGCCCAG